UACGGGGGGAGCAAGCGUUGUUCGGAUUUACUGGGCGUAAAGGGCGCGUAGGCGGCACUGCAAGUCAGUUGUGAAAUCUCCGGGCUUAACCCGGAAAGGUCAACUGAUACUGCAGGGCUAGAGUGCAGAAGGGGCAACUGGAAUUCUCGGUGUAGCGGUGAAAUGCGUAGAUAUUGGGAGGAACACCGGUGGCGAAGGCGGCUCUCUGGACUGAAACUGACGCUGAGGCGCGAAAGCGUGGGUAGCAAACAGG
rnacentral:rRNA from 1 species